GUGAACGCUGGCGGCAGGCCUAACACAUGCAAGUCGCACGGCAGCACCAGAGAGCUUGCUCUCUGGGUGGCGAGUGGCGGACGGGUGAGGAAUGCAUCGGAAUCUGCCCAUUUGUGGGGGAUAACCUCGGGAAACCGGGACUAAUACCGCAUACGACCUACGGGUGAAAGCAGGGGAUCUUCGGACCUUGCGCAGAUGGAUGAGCCGAUGCCGGAUUAGCUAGUUGGAGGGGUAAAGGCCCACCAAGGCGACGAUCCGUAGCUGGUCUGAGAGGAUGAUCAGCCACACUGGGACUGAGACACGGCCCAGACUCCUACGGGAGGCAGCAGUGGGGAAUAUUGGACAAUGGGCGCAAGCCUGAUCCAGCCAUGCCGCGUGUGUGAAGAAGGCCUUCGGGUUGUAAAGCACUUUUGUUGGGAAAGAAAAGCAGCCGGUUAAUACCCGGUUGUCAUGACGGUACCCAAAGAAUAAGCACCGGCUAACUUCGUG
rnacentral:rRNA from 1 species